rnacentral:rRNA from 1 species
AUUCCUUUUGAUUUUGGAGGGAUAAAAAUAAUGAAAUUAUUUAUACAUGUUUGUGAAAGCGUAUAAGUGAGUUAAUUCCAUUUAUGGGUUCUAUCAGGAUUAAAAAAUAUAAACCAUUUUUUAACCUAAAACAGGAAGCGUUAAAGCCACGUUUUAACUGAAACAAAGAAAAAUUAUACAGCAGUAAAGAAAUCUAUACAAUUAAAGUAAUUUAGAUAUGGUUUUUCCUUUAGUCUUGUCAAAUUAAGUGCCAGCAGACGCGGUUAUACUUAAAAGGCAAAUUUUUAUAAUAAAACAGAUUAUAUGUGUAGCAUAUAAAGUUUAGUGUAAAGUACAUUAUUUAAACGGUUAAAUGUAUAGUAAUUGUAAUAUCAAAUAAUAAUUUAUUACACUUAACAAAGUGAAACAUGAAAAAAAGAAUAUUAAAUAGGAUUAGAUACCCUAGUAAAUCUUUUUAUAAAUUGAUUAAAUUCUAUCUGAACAGUACACUUUAAAGAGUGAAAAUCAAAAAUUUUGGCUGUUUACUUUCCAAUUAGAGGAGCAUGUAAUUUAAUUCGAUAAUCCGCGAAGUAUCUUACCUAUUCUUGAAUAUCAGGAGCUGCAUGGUCGUCGUCAGUUUAAAUUUAUAGUUUAAACUUAACCCCCCGGGAUAAAGUCAGAUGGUAUGACCCUUAUGAGUAGGCGUAUUAUGUGCUACAAUAAUUAUAUUAAUAUAAAUUUAAAUUCGGAUUAAUAUUGAAAAUUAUUAUGAAGGAGAAUUUAAUAGUAAAUAGAUAUAAGAAAGAUCUAUUGAAUAGGUUCAAGUAUGAGUACAAAUUGCCCGUCGCCUUUAUCAAUAAGCAAAUUAAAGAUAGAGCAAGUCGUAACAUAGUGGGGGUAAGGGAACUUGCCCCUGAAAUAUUUUU